rnacentral:rRNA from 1 species
UGGGGAAUAUUGCACAAUGGAGGGAACUCUGAUGCAGCGACGCCGCGUGAACGAAGAAGGCUUUCGAGUCGUAAAGUUCUUUUAUAUGGGAAGAUAAUGACGGUACCAUAAGAAGAAGCCCCGGCUAACUACGUGCCAGCAGCCGCGGUAAUACGUAGGGGGCUAGCGUUGUCCGGAAUCACUGGGCGUAAAGGGUUCGCAGGCGGAAAUGCAAGUCAGAUGUAAAAGGCAGUAGCUUAACUACUGUAAGCAUUUGAAACUGCAUAUCUUGAGAAGAGUAGAGGUAAGUGGAAUUUUUAGUGUAGCGGUGAAAUGCGUAGAUAUUAAAAAGAAUACCGGUGGCGAAAGCGACUUACUGGGCUCAUUCUGACGCUGAGAAACGAAAGCGUGGGUAGCAAACAGG